ACGCGUGGAACCUUACCAGGUCUUGACAUCCUCUGACACUCCUAGAGAUAGGACGUUCCCCUUCGGGGGACAGAGUGACAGGUGGUGCAUGGUUGUCGUCAGCUCGUGUCGUGAGAUGUUGGGUUAAGUCCCGCAACGAGCGCAACCCUUGAUCUUAGUUGCCAGCAUUAAGUUGGGCACUCUAAGGUGACUGCCGGUGACAAACCGGAGGAAGGUGGGGAUGACGUCAAAUCAUCAUGCCCCUUAUGACCUGGGCUACACACGUGCUACAAUGGAUGGUACAAAGGGCAGCAAAACCGCGAGGUCGAGCAAAUCCCAUAAAACCAUUCUCAGUUCGGAUUGUAGGCUGCAACUCGCCUACAUGAAGCCGGAAUCGCUAGUAAUCGCGGAUCAGCAUGCCGCGGUGAAUACGUUCCCGGGCCUUGCACACACCGCCCGU
rnacentral:rRNA from 1 species